rnacentral:lncRNA from 1 species
CCGGAAUAUAGAUUAUCUUAGCUGUAUUUGGCAAAACUUUUAGGAUUUUUUUGUCCUCAAUGCUCUUCAUUUUACUUUAUUUUGUCCUAUUUUAACCUGCUUGGUUCGGAGUAUCCAGUUCAAAUUAAUAUGGCUAUUUAUUUGGUACACCUUCAACAGAUACUGUAAAUUACACGGACAUGUUUGUUAGCAAGAGAUCAAUGAAAUAUUGGACAACAUUUGAUAAAUUGUCAUCAAAGGUACCAGGCUUAUUAGUUGACACACCAGACGCACGUUUCGUCUACAUCAGACUCAUAUCAAAAUAGUUGGAAAGCUAAACAAGUAUAAUGUUGAAGAGCAUUGAAGACCCAAAAUUCUAAAAUAUUGUGCCAAAUACGACUAAGGUAAUAUAUGCCUGGGAUAAGAGUCCUUAGUAUUUUGAAUUAUUUGUACUUUUGCAAACAGAUGAUUUUAAAAUAACCAUAUAAUUGAUAUGCAUGUCAACACCGAAAUGUUGACUACUGGGCUCGUGGUAAAACAAGAGAUUAUCCUGUCUUCGUUAAUUUUUUCAUAGUAGCAUGAUAUUAGUCUUCUAGGACAGAAUGUAUUAAACCUUUUUUGGUUAUUAAUUGCUUUCAAAUCAUAUUACUUUUAACAUAUCUCUGUUGUUUUAUUGCACAAGUGGGUAUAAGUUCCAGACAUUAUUUCAACAUUUUAUAGAUGUCUUAAAACCAUUUCAGCGUCUUAUCCAGAUGAAAUAUAUGUUUUAUGUAAUUGGACGUUCAAUUCAAAUGAAAGAAAUAACCCAUUAUCUUUUGAUUAAUUGCCAAUGUUACUGAACCACAAAAAUGAGGUCAUAUACAAAGAACACAUUACAGGGGUACACUGAAGAAGAGGUGACAUAUUAAACCUUAGGAAAAAAUGGCUUAUAUCAAUAAUCGAUAAACUGUUGGCGCCGCCAGAAAGCAUUUCCAUGUCCCUCUUUCUGUAACUUUUGUCACUUGCCUGUUUUACCCAACAUAUGUUGUGCCUAGACGAUUGCAAGUCAGGUUAUCUGGACCAAGUGUUGUUACAUGUUGCUUGUCUUUGUUAAUACAUUCAUUUUUGAGAUUUGAGGUAAAAAGUAAAAUGACAAAAUAC